rnacentral:rRNA from 1 species
UACAGAGGUCCCAAGCGUUGUUCGGAUUCAUUGGGCGUAAAGGGUGCGUAGGCGGCGCGGUAAGUCGGGUGUGAAAUCUCGGGGCUUAACUCCGAAACUGCAUUCGAUACUGCCGUGCUAGAGGACUGGAGAGGAGACUGGAAUUUACGGUGUAGCGGUGAAAUGCGCAGAUAUCGGGAGGAACACCAAUGGCGAAGGCAGCACUCUGGGCCGGUACUGACGCUGAGGAGCGAAAGCGUGGGGAGCGAACGAGGA